ACGCUCGACACCUACGGGGGGCAGCAGUCGGGAAUAUUGCGCAAUGGAGGAAACUCUGACGCAGUGACGCCGCGUAUAGGAAGAAGGUUUUUCGGAUUGUAAACUAUUGUCGUUAGGGAAGAAAAAAGACAGUACCUAAGGAGGAAGCUCCGGCUAACUACGUGCCAGUAGCCGCGGUAAUCUGAGCGGGCUGGCAAGGC
rnacentral:rRNA from 1 species